rnacentral:rRNA from 1 species
GUAGGGGGCGAGCGUUGUCCGGAUUUAUUGGGCGUAAAGAGCUCGUAGGCGGCUUGGCAAGUCGGGUGUGAAAACUCCAGGCUCAACCUGGAGACGCCACUCGAGACUGCUAUGGCUAGAGUCCGGUAGGGGACCACGGAAUUCCUGGUGUAGCGGUGAAAUGCGCAGAUAUCAGGAGGAACACCGGUGGCGAAGGCGGUGGUCUGGGCCGGCACUGACGCUGAGGAGCGAAAGCGUGGGGAGCAAACAGGAUUAGAUACCCUGGUAGUCCACGCCGUAAACGUUGGGCACUAGGUGUGGGACCUUAUCAACGGGUUCCGUGCCGUAGCUAACGCAUUAAGUGCCCCGCCUGGGGAGUACGGCCGCAAGGCUA